AACGAACGCUGGCGGCAUGCCUAACACAUGCAAGUCGAACGAGACCUUCGGGUCUAGUGGCGCACGGGUGCGUAACGCGUGGGAACCUGCCCUUAGGUUCGGAAUAACUCCCCGAAAGGGGUGCUAAUACCGGAUAAUGUCUUCGGACCAAAGAUUUAUCGCCUUUGGAUGGGCCCGCGUUGGAUUAGCUAGUUGGUAGGGUAAAAGCCUACCAAGGCGACGAUCCAUAGCUGGUCUGAGAGGAUGAUCAGCCACACUGGGACUGAGACACGGCCCAGACGGCGGGGGGUGAGAGGAGUGGGGAGUGGUCGUAGGGGGGGAAAUCCCUCAACAAGCAGGGCGGGGGGGGUGAUGAGGGCUUUCGGGUUGUAAAGUGCUUGUGCGCGGGAGGAGAAUGAAAGUCGGGGGAAAAGCAGCCUCUGCUAACUCCGUGCCAGCGGCCGGGGUAAGAGGCGGAAGAGCACCCGCCUGAAC
rnacentral:rRNA from 1 species